rnacentral:rRNA from 1 species
UGGGGAAUAUUGGACAAUGGGCGAAAGCCUGAUCCAGCCAUGCCGCGUGUGUGAAGAAGGUCUUCGGAUUGUAAAGUACUUUAAGUUGGGAGGAAGGGCAUUAACCUAAUACGUUAGUGUUUUGACGUUACCGACAGAAUAAGCACCGGCUAACUCUGUGCCAGCAGCCGCGGUAAUACAGAGGGUGCAAGCGUUAAUCGGAAUUACUGGGCGUAAAGCGCGCGUAGGUGGUUUGUUAAGUUGGAUGUGAAAUCCCCGGGCUCAACCUGGGAACUGCAUUCAAAACUGACUGACUAGAGUAUGGUAGAGGGUGGUGGAAUUUCCUGUGUAGCGGUGAAAUGCGUAGAUAUAGGAAGGAACACCAGUGGCGAAGGCGACCACCUGGACUAAUACUGACACUGAGGUGCGAAAGCGUGGGGAGCAAACA